GACGAACGCUGGCGGCGUGCUUAACACAUGCAAGUCGAACGGAAAGGCCCCGCUUUUGUGGGGUGCUCGAGUGGCGAACGGGUGAGUAACACGUGAGUAACCUGCCCUUGACUUAGGGAGAACUUCAGGAAACUGGGGCUAAUACCGGAUAGGAGCUACUGCUGCAUGGUGGGGGUUGGAAAGAUUCGGCGGUUGGGGAUGGACUCGCGGCUUAUCCGCUUGUUGGUGGGGUAGUGGCUUACCAAGGCUUUGACGGGUAGCCGGCCGGAGUGGGUGACCGGCGACAUUGGUACUGAGGGAGGGCCCAGACUCCUACGGGGGGCAUCAGUGGGGAAUAUUGCGCAAUGGGCGGAAGCCUAAUGCAGCAACGCCGGGUGCGGGAUGACGGCCUUCGGGUGGGAAACCUCUUUCACCUGUGACGAAGCGUGAGUGACGAUAAUGGGUAAAGAAGCACCGGCUAACUACGUG
rnacentral:rRNA from 1 species